AUCUCUGAUGACCUGAGGAUGAACACAUUUUCAUCAAGUGUCCAUUUUGUGUGAACUAUCCCUUUAAGGACACAGAAAAUGUUGUUGUAGACUUUGGUUUCUGUCCGUACGGUUAAUAAUUUGUGUCAUAGUACACUAAGAGUGAAGUUACAGCAGUCAUUUUCACACACUUGUCUGCAGAGUUCAUUUUAAUUCCAUCUGGAAAGAUCAGAGUACAUCUGAAAUGAGUUUCCAGGUCUGGAUUUUAGAUAGACGAAAGGGGACUACAAUAAACGUUUCUGUGGCGAACUCUGAGGAGGAAUUCAAGAACACCACAGUUGAAGAAUUGAAAAGAAAACUCUUUUCUGCAGACAGCAGAUAUAAAGUCUGUGAGCUUUACUGCAAUGGUGAGCGUCUGUUUCAUGAUCGGACACUUGGCUCUCAUGGCAUUAAACACAGUGAUGUUAUUAUGAUUGCUCCACCGAUGCUUCCACGGAAGUAUUUAUGGACUGAAAUCAUCUGUUUUCUUCCUAAAGCUGACUCUUCAUCUUAGAUCAUAACAGAGGAGGUCACUUUAAGAUCUUAUUAUCUGGUUGUGAAUCGAAUGUACACUAAUGCAGGUGUAUAGCCAUGAAUAUAUAGCUAAUGCUAAUAAUAUGCAUGCUAAAAAGCAACUAGUUAUAAUAGUUAGCAUCACUUUUAACUAGUUAAAAUUAAAAACGAAAAGUUUUACACAAUUUUUUAUUAAUUAUAAUUAUUCUGAACACUGGUUUGUUUACAUAUUAAUUGUUUGUUAAGUGUUGUGCUUCAUACUUGUCUUGUUCUAAAUGUUGUAGUUUAUCUCAUAUCCAGAACGACAGCAUUUGUUUUCGCACGAGCAGUAAUUGUGGAAAUGUGAACACACAUAUUUAUAUCUUUAAUUAUCAUUCCUUCCAGCAAUUAAAGAAAGUCUCUCAUCUAAAGAUGAACGUGAAGGUGAAUUCAUAUCCAGGACAGAAUCUAUGGAGAAAUGAACUCUCAAUAUGUAAAUGAUCCGACUCACACAGCAUGCUGAUGUAUUAAUGACUUUUUAGUUUUAUAUUACAUUGUUCUUUGGCAGUUCAUUGUAAUUGUUUGAGAAAUGUAGUGAUUUCUGAGUGAAAUUUGAUCAGUGUGUCCAAAAUGAACAAGUCUCUCGUACCAACAGAUUAAUGUUGAGCUAAAUGAUCAUCAGUGAGCUGAAUUACUGGAGAUCCAUGACGUCUGUAGAGAAUAUAGACUACUCAACAAAUAAUAUCUUUGAGAUGAUUAUUAUGACUUUAUGAUGAAAGAUUAUGAAGACAAAAAAUUCUGACACACCGAUUCUUCUGCUAACAAAGUCUCUUUCUGAAUAAAACUCCUACAAACCUUCAUAAAACUGUUUUAAAAAGUUUGGAGUUGUGAAAAUGUGUUUUAAGGUCUAUAAGAAGGGGUGAAGUUUGUGGACGUUAUAUUUAAAAUUACAGUUACAACCCUUUGAAUAUUCAUGAUUUUUAUUUUAUUGGUAUGUUUUGGUCUAAAUCGAAGGAUAACUUGUCAUAAUAAAUCAGAACAAAGUACAAAAGUUCCCCUUCAUUGCACAAAUUGGUAGCACCCAACUCUGGUUUGUGCGUUCAGCCAGGGU